UACCACUGCCUUUACAGAAGCCCAAAAAUCUGAACAUGACAUAAAAACAGUAAAAGAGCAAAAUGACAAACAAACAUAUUAAAAACCGCAUUACAUAAUUACUAAUAUGAUAAGAGAAACACAAUAAAAGAGAUAUGAUAAAAGAGUAAAAUGCGCACAGCGUCCCCCGGUCCCCUCCUCCUCCCCCUUGUCCGGAACUCUACCUCACCAGUCUGAAGCAGCCACCCUGUCCGUAACAAGUCCGGACCUGUUACUACGGGCUUCGUCCGGUUAAAUUCCGGAACACGUUAUCCGGAUGUUUGUAUUCAGACACGAAGGUCUUACGGACAGAGUCUGGAACAUUUCCGUUUUUCAUGGCCUGUCUGAAGGGAGCUCUAGAUGGGUUGGGAAAGUAGCGUAUUUCGGCGGUUUUAGCUUUCCACAGACCGCUGCCGUGGGUCACCUCCCGUGUGUCAGGUAAUAAAUGCGACAGCGACAAAUUUCGCUGAUCGCGGCCAUUUUCGCCUCCCUUGUGUCGAGCCCAUAAGGCAAUCAAAGAUUUUUUCCGUGCCUCUACACUUAGCACCUCAGUUACAGUCUCAGCGAAACUGCAUUUUCAAGACCCUCAGUUGUAGAGGUUCACCAUGAAAUGCUACCGAUAAGCCGGCUUUUUAAUAUUCAGAGCUCUUAAAGGUCAUUACUAUGGCAGAAUGUGGGUGUGUAGAAGGUGGGAUAUGAUCCAAACACCUGCAAAUAGAAGAGUGUUAUUCAUGAAGCAGGACAUGUCUGUGUGUAUUCAGUGUUUUUUGCAUCAGUAAGUCAUUUUAUUACCAAGCUUUAGUUUAGUUUAAUUUUCCAUACAAAGGUUAAUAAAUGAAGCCCCUGGUGUCUGACAGAAAACACCACAAAACAAAUAAUUAUGCAAAUAAAUUAUCAUCACUAAUAUUUAUUAUUAGACUCAAACGACAGGCUUUUUUCACACAUUUUAAAUCGUAUCUAGUUGUUGUAGUCGUAACAGUAAAAUGAUGAAGUAAGUGAAUAUUUCAUGUCAGAUGCAUAAUUCGAGUUCCACCUACACGUUCACUCAGGUUCUGAUGCUGAUGAGAGCAGAGUGAGCAGAAAUUGUAAAUAUGAAGAGUCCUGUGGUGCUCUGGUGCUGCUGGCCAUCAUCUAAGACACACAAUCCCUCUGUUGCACAAACUGCUAUCAGUCAGGUGGUCAAUAAUUCAAGAGAUUUUGGAGACAUCCAUCUGUGUCGUUUCGAGCUUCUCACAUAGCAGCACAGACUGAAUUAUGUUAAAUGCCCUGGGGAAAUCUUAGAACAUGAUCCAGUGCUAUUCCCACUUGUCCAGAUGGGAGUGGGCUUGGUGAAGUGGCUACAAAAUAAUACAUUUCAGAUUCUGACUAUAUUACAUAAACUUAACAUAACAGUAAAUGUGUUUUUAUUUAAAACUAUUUCUAAGAUCAUGUGAUGACAAUGUCACAUAAACCAACACACUCUUUCAGCCCUUGGUGUGUCUCUAGUUUCUCCUGGACCUUUUUCUGAUGGUCCUUUCACCUGGGACCUCUGUAUCCAUCACCCCUGACUUCCUAUACAUUUCAUCACCUGUUUAUAAGUCUGAAUCUGGUCUUGUAUGGUUGUACCAUUCCAGCCAGUUGGUUAUGGUGCUCUGUGUGCGCAGUUGCUGCCUAUAUUUACAUCCUACUUUUAUGUGCUGGACUGUCUCAGGCAUCACUGAAGAGUAAGUAACCUGGUCUCUAUUGUUCUUGUGCUGGCCAUGACCAAAGCUUUUAUACCAUCCUUCCAGUCAGCCUUUUCUAGUCACUUGCAGGAUUUGUGAAUACCAUCUACUUCCUCAGUCAUCCUGUGGAGCAUGCCAGGCCUUAUCCUUCUAAGCCAGAUCCUCCUGCCCCUCCAUUUUUGAGCUUCUGCUGCCUGAGACAUUUACUCUGCAGUUCAUAAAAACAACCAGAUACUUAGCUUAACUUUCACAUUUGAAUCAAUUCGGUAUCAAUUCCCGGUACUUAACGGUCCCAAUUUUUAAUACUUUUGAGUUUUUAAUAAGUGAUUAAUCCUCUUUUUUAAAUUAACAUUUUUUCUCAAUAUAUAACCAUAUUUAAUAAAUAUCAUGAUAAAUAAUAUAAAAACUGUAUUUAAUCACCGUAGGGCUGUACAAAUUCUUCAAUGAGAUCCUAAAACCCCAACUGUUUGUAAAUGAUACAAAAAUUCAAACCCAGCUGCGUGUACUCCUAUUCCUCUUCUAUUCCCUCAUGAUGAGUAGACCAUGUAUUAUAAACUACAAAUGAAGUUAUCUUUAUUUCUAAUUUAUAUUGAUAAUUUAUAACAAUUAUCUUAGGAAAUCAGGUAUUCAAUGCUAGAGUAUAAGUGGCAAAAGGUACAGAAACAAGGCAUUGUUUCAUAUCACGUGAAUCGGUCCUUGGUCGGUACCACUGAAUUCGGUGGUACCGACCAAAUACGGUCGGAACCACCGAAGUACCAAAUACGGUACCCCUCCCUACAUUGUACAUUCCACUUUUACACUUGAAUCUGAGAUAUUUUUUCAUAAUGACAUAAUGAUGUUCAGAUACCUGUCUGAUUAUGUGGAGCACCCCCAAUAUGUAUGUAUGUUCAGAUACCUGUCUGCUCGACCCUUGAGAUGAGGAUCCAGUGGUAUGAGAACUGAGUUACCACGGUCUAGUAUACAACAAAUAUAAUUUAAAAACAGCUGUACUCUGAUAUUUUAUUGUUUUAACAAUUAGCUGGGUCUGCAUGCAUUUUUACCAGCUCACACACAGAUAAUUAUAUUAUUAAAAGAUAUAUUUUUAAAGUUGUGCUCUAAAAGCAAAUUCAGUGGAAACAAUGUCAAUGUGUAUGAUAAAAACAAAUUCAUAGAUGCUUUGUGUUUGUGCCUCAGUCACCAGCAUCAGUUGGUAUUCAUUUUACAUGACCCAGAAUUCCCCCUCGGCUAAAAAGGGCUUUUAGACUACUAAAUAAUUCACUGUUCACAAAUUAUAAGAACAGAUUUCAUACCAGAUGUUCAAGUUUCAUAUUUUGUUUGGUAAAAACCUGAUAUAUGUUCUGCAGAGCCUCAAAGGAGCGGCCUCCUGUUCGUUAUGUCUCUUAUCGCCAUCUCUUUCUACAGUCUUGUCCUCUGUAAUGUGAUGCUCACAGCAUGUGUGUGUGUGUGUGUGUGUGUGUGUGUGUGUGUGUGUGUGUGUGCGUGCGUGCGUGUGUGUGUGUGUGUGUGUGUGUGUGUGUGUGUGUGUGUGCGUGCGCGUGUUGGGGGUGCUCCACAUAAACUCCCUAAUCUCUGACAUCACUGCAGGCUACAGUUCCACAGGCAUUUUACAUAUAAAUGUAUCUUCAUUAAGGCCAAUUACAAAAUGAUAAAUUUUAUUAUAGAUUUUUUUGUAGAGUAAAAUAUAUGUACACAAUAAAAAUGUUUAUGAAUCAGGUUCUCACUAAUUAUGCCAUGUGGUUGUUUUUAGAUUAUUAUUUUUAAUUUUAGGUCAUUGCCCUUGAGUUUAAUUAGCUUCUUUUUACCUUCAACUGAUUAUUCAGACUUUUGUUUUAAUUAUUUUGUUCCUCUGAUGAAACAUUUUAUUUUAAUUACAGUGUUGUGUUCUGAACACAGGGGUCAGUAUACUCCCUAUGCUCUCGUGUGUGGCAGAACGUGCUACAGACCCCACCUCGUGUCCCCUGGCUGCAGCCAACCCUCCUUCUCUACCCAUGGCUAACAAGCAGUCAGUGAUUGCUCACCAUGAGCUGGUAGCUAAGCGUCAGCAAGCUUGUUUACAGCGCUGCUCCCAUAUCCAUGUUACACCAGACCUCCCAGCUGAUGUCACCCUUACUCCAUGUCUAAAUCAGUGACAGCGUCAAGGUCUGAAAGAACUAGCUUGCUUCCUUUGGGACUGGUAGGUUGUUAAACAGUCAUAACUAAAUGCUUUUUUUAAAUCAGUCAAGUAGUUACAUGCUUUGUGUGGGUUAGGCUAGAGGGAUUGGAAAUUUCUUUUGUGCAUUUAUUUUGUGUUUCUUCUGACUGUAUUACUUGGUUCUUUUUUUAACACAGGAAAAGGGUUGUUUUACCUUUAAUGUUUUGGCCACCACUGUGGUCUUCCUCUGAGCUUGCCACUGUUGGCGGAGGAGGAAGUGACACUGCUAACAGCUUCCUUCUCCAUAUACGUCAUCAGUGAGAGGAAUUCUAGCUCUUCGUCAGCCAUGUUUGACUGAAUAGCUUUGUUUGGGUAAAUGACGCAUGUACGCCCGCCGCCGUUUACGCAAUACCCAGGUACAGCCUUCCCGCCCCCUCCCCCUCAGACAUCUGGAACUUUUCCCUGCUGUAUAAAGGUAGCCGAAAGGACAAGUUCAGGUACAAAAGCGGUGUGUCUGAAAACACAGUUCUGGUUAAAAACCGGACUGAAUUGUCCACACAUAUUCCAGAUUGUCAAUCUGAAAAGGGCUCAACAGUGGCGAGCUCUGUGGAUGUCCGCAGGGCUGUUCUUCACUUUAUCAAACUCAGAGUUUGUACAGCUAAUGUCAAAAUGUAAAACUAUAAAUUCAGUCGAGCUCUUCCCUCCCUCUCCUGUUUCUCCUUAAAUCCAACAUCGGCUGUCGGGUUUAAGGAGAAACAGGAGAGGGAGGGGAAGAAGGAAAUGAGGCAAACAGAGUGAGUGUGACGUAGAGAAACCAGACUGGUGUGGAGGUGAGCAAAACGGCUGGAAAAGUGUGGGUGUUGAAUCCCCCCACAUCCCCCACGGGUGCGACGCCCAUGACUCACACCCAGGUCUUUUGACUGUCUGUAUGUAAAUGUUGUUGAUGCCUUGCAAUUUCCUGCACCAAACAGGGCGAGUGAGGGAGUCAGACACCAUUGGAGGCUGGUGUCCAGCUAAUAGCAGGCGGGGAUCUCAUCAUAUGCGGCUUAGGAGUGUUGGACAUGACCUAACCCUAACCUGACAAACUUGACAUGUCUUUCUAUUUAAGUGUUACUGAAACUAAGUACAACAACGUCGUAGCUAUUCUCUUCUUCUUCUUAGUUGAAUUGGCAGACUUCAUGCUUCCAGGGUGCGCUGCUGCCAUCGGCUGUUUCUUUCAGUUUACAGUCAAAGUGUGUGAUGCGGAGCUCGUAUGUCCCUAAACAGCUACUGUAUUUCAAGAUGGCACUUGACCAUGGAGAAUCGUCCACAGUUUAUUUAAAAUAAUACAUUUUCAUUCAACUGUUUUCAUUAUUAUAAGUAUUAAUUGAUAAUAAAAGAUAUUUAUAAGACAAUAAAUGAAACCUGUGCGCAAAAAGGAAUUGAUUAUAAAAUGAGCAGUUAAACUGCAGUUACAUUUUGGAUUUAUUUAUUUAUCUUUUUAAAAAGUCAACCUAAAUGUUUUUCCAAAAGUAAAACACUAAGCAGUGAGUUUUGGUCCUCAUGAGGGUAACUAACUGGUCCUGACAAGUAGAAACGAUCCUGAUGAAGAAACACACAGGAAGACAACAUGAGACUGUGGUAGUGAUUGGGCCUGUGGGACUUGGCACUUAAAGAGCAUUUCACUGGAGCGAUCGAUGCAAUCCUCCUCCUGACAAACUUCAUUACAGCAGCUGUAACAAUAUCUGUGUCCUUCUGUCAUAACAUGCAUUAUUGGUGGAAGGUGGAAACAUUUUGUUCCAAAAGCUUGUAAUUAAAUUGGACUCAGUGAGGUCCUUAUACACAGCAAAUCAAAGUGUCAGUGUAACACAUUUUAUACACAUUACUAGCUUACAGUGGGUUAUAUUUGAUAAAAGGUGGGAAAAAAACUAAAAUAAAACCAGGACAACUAAAAGAUUGAAGGAUAAAAACAGUUAAUACUGAUUUAUCAAAUUGUGAGCCCUUAUUCUUACUAAAGAAUCAGACAGAAGGUGGACAGCCUGGGCAGGGUCUGGACCAAGGUAUGGAGAAACAUCUGGACCAGAGUCUGAAGAAUUUGUCCCGGUGUCUACCUGAAAGAUACAUUAAAAACUGUACAUAACAUAACAAUAUUUGAGUUUGCACAAACUUUCUAUAGUGACUUGGUGAAUUGGUUUGUGCAGAGGCCUACAGUGCUGGGUCCUAAGUGGUGGGGUGUGUCCAUAGAAGGUCCACCCAAGAGUCUUGGUCACACACUGAGACAGGACUGGUCUUGACUAAGCUAUCACCCCCUCACACCAUCACACAGAGUGAUGCAGCAUUCUGAUGUGGUCCAAGUCAAUUCAAGACAGAGUGUGCCGGCUCGUUCACAUACACGAGAGACACGAGCAUUCCUUUUACUGAUGUUUAAUGCGGUCUUGCAUCUUCUUAAUCUUUACACCACACGAACACCGUAGAACUAAUGAAAAAGCAUAAAUCAUGUACAAAUUAACAAGUUAGUUGCCUUAAGUUUGCUAACACACAGAGUUAAUAAAUAAAGAAUAAACAUACCACUUUGGCCUGCUAGUAGACAAACCGGUAGACUUGAAAACACAACCUUCUUCUCAAAUGUUCUUAAUUGCCACAAAAAUGCACUUAGCAAAGCCUUGAUGAAUUAACUGGGAUACGGCAGUAGUAGCUCGCUGAAAUGUAAACACAUCUGUUUAUUGAAAGGACAUAUUGUUUUGGCCAUAUCACCAUGGCUACACUAAACCCAGUCCUCAGGGUGAAAGAACAAAGUUUGUGAAUGCUUUAAUUUUAUAAUCCAUUUGCAUAUUUGCUAAAACCCACCUUAACUGAGAACCCAUAAAUUACUCAAUAACUAUGGGAUUAGAUUUGUGCCAAUACGAUCAAGAAAAAACACUUUGGAGAUCAAACAAAUAUUAAGACAUUGAGAGAAAAAAAUUGUUUCAAAAGAAAAACUUACUAUCUGAAUCAGAUUCUUAAAAUGAUCAAGAAAAACACUUACGGUCAAACAAUAAUUAAGAAAUUUACAGAACAAAAAUGUUGACUAAAGGAAAAAAAAUUGUUUCAAAAGAAAAACUUACUAUCUGAAUCAACUUCUUCAAAUGAGUAACAAAGUAUGUUUCCUUUUUCUGUUUGCCUUUAUGUGUUUUUGUUAUCAGUUUCCUUUGUUUCAUUCUCGCUGCUCACAGCUUUGCUCUCACUACCAGAUUUGCACUUACACUUUCUGGCUUUCUCCUUUGCAAUCCCUGAGUUUUUGGUUGCAAUUCUGACACAACCCUUUCGGGUGGGUGGGACUUCUGAGAAGUCCUCUCCCAUAGGACAAUGGUUUCUCUAGAGUGACAGUUCAGUGACCUGGAAGUGAUGUAGCCUCAAAUACUUUUUUUCCCCCACCUCAGUCAACAGCAUAAAUUUUGAGCCCCAUACACGUUAUUUCUGCUGUCUGUGGUGUCUACUGAGGAUCUAAAGAAUCUGUGGAACAUUAGAGACUUUGCAGCUACUGGAGCUAACCUGUGUACAGCUAACUCGCUACAGAGGAAGCAGCAGAAAGCUGAGGUAACAGGCUGUUUUGCAGUGAAACGAAUGGAUUAUAUGAUGUAACUCUGACUGAAAAAUUAUCUAAGUAAUCCUCGGGUGUCAGCAGGAGGAGGUGACCACCUGCAUAACGGAGCACCCUGGUUCUGAGACAGUUGCACCUUUGUGCAGCUCUUUGGGGAGACGAUGCUCAGCAGACACAUGCCUCCGUGUGGUUAGGUGUGUUGGUGUGAUCUGGGAGGGCACACUCAUGUCAUCAUCUCCUUGUGCCGUCUCCAGGAUCAUGAUGGGAGUUCUCUGUGCCUAUAAAGCAGGGGUAUUUACUUCUGGGCCUGGAGGGCCGGUAUCCAGCAUGUUUUAGUUUUAACUCUGUUUCAACACACCUGAUUUCAGUCAGCAGAUAAUUAACAGGCUUCUGCAGAGCUGCUGCACAGGUAAUUCAACCACUGAUUCAAGUGUGUUGGAGCAGGGAAACAACUAAAACGUGCUGGAUACCAGCUAUAUGGAUGCUGCUAUAAAGCCUUCCUCCCUCCUCUGGAAUUUAAACAUUAGUAUUUUAUUAUGGUUUCCUGAUUUGGUAAAUAAAUCUCAAUUUAUAAAUUCCCUGUUUUGGUGCCUGUCCAUAAAAUCCUGCAUUAGACACUGAAAGCUGAAUGGAUGCCUUUCAUUCACUUUGACAUUCAACGUAUUUUCAAAGAUACACUUGAAAUUAAUAUCAGCUGUUUAACAGAGUGGUGCAAUUGCUAAUGUCAUGAUUUUUGCAAUAACCUGACCUUCAUGCAGAGAAUCUCAGGAGACAAAUGAGCUAAAACAGUUUAUUAAAAUGUUUGACGGAUGCCUGAAGAGGUAACUGCUGGAGAUCAGGAACCAGAAGCUUCUGCGAGGAAGAGCAGAGGUUAGUAAGAGGCAACAGGCUAACGUCUGGUUAAAACCAACUUGUGGCAGGGGUGAUGAGUGAGCACCACCUCACCCCUGCCACGUGGACCUCAAGGGAUAAACCAUCAAUCCUGCUCCAUGGUCAACUUUCCUCACGGGAUCGCCCAUGAAGACAGUGGGAGAGUUAAAGAAACACAGACAUUUCAAAAUCCUCAUUUAAACCUAGUGGUUGAAGUGUUUUCAACGUGUAGAUCCAGAACAGUUCCCUUUGGCAGAGUUUUUUUUUUUUAUCUAUAUCACCUCCUCUAUGUAAUGAAAUAUGUUCAAUCCCCUGGAAUCUGAGUGAAGACAUAGGGUGUGAAAAGUCAUUGAAAUGGCUUGCUACUGGAUAAGUCAAGUCUUUUCUUCCAAUUGAACUCUUAUGUUCACUGAUCCUCUGUUUGAGUGGCCUUGUUGUUUUACCAAUAUAGACUUUAUCACGGGCCUUUUAACAAAUACAUUACAUUCUUUGAGUUACAAGUAAUUAUGCCCUUAACAUAGCAACUGGGAUGAGGAUCAGCACCUCCAAAUCUGAGACCAUGGCUCUCGACCGGAAAAGUGUGGCUUGCCAACUCCGGGUCGGGGCAGAGGUCCUACCUCAAAUGGAGGAGUUUAAGUAUCUCGGGGUCUUGUUCAUGAGUGAGGGUAGGAGGGAUCGGGAGAUCAACAGGCGGAUUGGUUCAGCGUCUGCAGUGACCAGUCUGACCCUGGUGGGGAUGAGCUACAAAGUAGCCACAGCUGCCCUGGGGCGGACUGACAGAGGCAAGGAGCACAGGUGCCGCCGGUCCCGCUGACCACCACCAGUAAUUAGGCAAGGGGGGUUAAGUGUCUUGCCCAAAGACACAAUGACAGCGACAAACUGAGCGGGGCUCUAACCUGCAAGCUUCUGAUUACGUGGUGAGCACUUUACUCCUGUGCCACCGUCACCACACAAUUCAGUUUUAUUUGCAUGUUUUGCCAGUAUGAUAAGCAAAUCUGAUUUCUAAAGGCUGACACAAGUAAGGUUUCACCUAGAAAGAAUGAGUAUUCGCCUUGUUUUCAGGUUUUUAGGUGACACUCCCGGUCGUAUCUAAAAUAGCUGAGAAGUGGGUGGUUAAACUCCUCACUGCUCACCUAGAAAACACCCAACCCUCAUUACAACCAUUGCAGUUUGGCU